AGACACCCGGGAAGCAAGUGGAAAAAGCAACCGGUUUGGGGAUGAAAAGACGAAUGAGAAGAAAAAGUCGUUUAAGGUGACCUUCGCCCACUGGCUGUGCACAGGGAGAGUCUGAAAUUCCAUUCAUCGAAGCACACACCACGAGUUUCAUUCGGCAAAUAUAAAUACACGUUCAUAAGCGGGAGAAAAAUAAACUCAGAGGUUUUCAUCACAUCUACCGUCACAUUGUUUGGUUUCUCUAAUCUGACAUAAAGGCUAAAGUUUUAAAAGUUUUACAGGGCUUUGAGGGCCUUUGGGGGGGGUGGGUAUAUGUCAGCAAUUCCGAGAGAGUAUGUAGGCAGAUGGCUGUCUCUUCUGUCAUGGAGUGGGUGGGAGGUCGGGCCAAUGUCUAAUUUUGAGAGGAAAGCAUUUUGAUUUGAGAAAUUUCACAUUUUGCCUCUCAUGCUAAUCCAAAUGACAAAAGGCUGAACUGGGAAUUUAUAACACACGAGAUAAAACUUGAAAACUACAGCUUUCUUAGAAAAGAGAUGCAUUUUAAACCACCUAGCCCAUCUCUCUCUUUUUAUUCCCUAAUUAAUGUCAAAUUGUCAUCUUUGAAGGUAACACACAUUUUUCAGUUGUUGUAACAAUGUGGCAAAAAAGAAAUUUGGAUAGAUUUCUAGAAAGACCUCAAGAUUUCAAGAAAGACACAGCAGAGGGCCCGCCCUGUGGUCUACUGAGUAUGCUGAGCCACUUACAAUGGGCUGCAAGUAGCCCACUUCGAUGGUGGAGGAGUUUUAGUGGCAUGGGAGGUGCCCCCCUAUCUCUGUGCAGGUGACUUCUGGAAAAGGGUGCUCUGCAGGAAGAGAAGUAGAAACUGUGUUCACUUUCUUCCAUGCACCAAGUGGACCGCAACACUAGGCGGACUGCACUUUGGGUGGAAACCCUGGCUGGCUGCAGCGACAUCGACUUGGGCGUCAUGUUCCCUGGGAAUCUGAAAGGCCCAAGAACCAAGGCCUGACUGCCAUGCCAGGUGCUGCGGGCCACCUGCCGCACAGCUGUGAGAUAGAGAAAGCUCAGACUCAGCCCCUGGCAAGGCGGGCUCCUCCGCCUGGAACAUGUGCCUGCCAUAGAGGAGUGAAACGAAAGAGCCCUACAUCUCGUCAUACCAUUUGCACAUUCAAAUGUCAGUAAGCCUUUUGGGAAGACGGUGUUUACAGCUACACUAAAAUCCUGACCACAUUUUCCCUGAACGAUACCUCUCCCCACGGCAGUAACUAUUGAGAUUCAACAUUCAAAGAAAAAAAGGACCCAGUGAUGGCGGACUCCUGGGGGUGGGCAGUGGCGGGCUCGCUCCAGGGGGUGCGAGGAAAGCAUCUGACAGCUUUGCCACAGCUGCUGGCCACUGCCUAAAAAGCUGCCCUGAGCUCCCCCCAAAAUAUGCACCGCUCCUGGGUUACUGCUGGCCACAGGAGCAGUUCAUGCCUG
rnacentral:lncRNA from 1 species